rnacentral:rRNA from 1 species
GACGAACGCUGGCGGCGUGCCUAAUACAUGCAAGUAGAUCGCACAGUUUAUACCGUAGCUUGCUACACCAUACACUGUGAGUUGCGAACGGGUGAGUAACGCGUAGGUAACCUGCCUGGUAGCGGGGGAUAACUAUUGGAAACGAUAGCUAAUACCGCAUAAUAUUGAUUAUUGCAUGAUAAUUGAUUGAAAGAUGCUAUUGCAUCACUACCAGAUGGACCUGCGUUGUAUUAGCUAGUAGGUGAGGUAACGGCUCACCUAGGCGACGAUACAUAGCCGAACGGAGAGGGUGAUCGGCCACACUGGGACUGAGACACGGCCCAGACUCCUACGGGAGGCAGCAGUAGGGAAUCUUCGGCAAUCGACGAAAGUCUGACCGAGCAACGCCGCGUGAGUGAAGAAGGUUUUCGGAUCGUAAAGCUCUGUUGUAAGAGAAGAACGGGUGUGAGAGUGGAAAGUUCACACUGUGACGGUAUCUGACCAGAAAGGGACGGCUAACUACGUG